rnacentral:rRNA from 1 species
AUACGUAGGGAGCAAGCGUUGUCCGGAUUUACUGGGUGUAAAGGGUGCGUAGGCGGCUCUGCAAGUCAGGUGUGAAAACUAUGGGCUUAACUCAUAGAUUGCACUUGAAACUGUGGAGCUUGAGUGAAGUAGAGGCAGGCGGAAUUCCCGGUGUAGCGGUGAAAUGCGUAGAGAUCGGGAGGAACACCAGUGGCGAAGGCGGCCUGCUGGGCUUUAACUGACGCUGAGGCACGAAAGCAUGGGUAGCAAACAGGAUUAGAUACCCUGGUAGUCCAUGCCGUAAACGAUGAUUACUAGGUGUGGGGGGUCUGACCCCUUCCGUGCCGGAGUUAACACAAUAAGUAAUCCACCUGGGGAGUACGACCGCAAGGUUGAA